AGAGUUUGAUCCUGGCUCAGAUUGAACGCUGGCGGCAGGCCUAACACAUGCAAGUCGAGCGGUAGCACAGAGAGCUUGCUCUCGGGUGACGAGCGGCGGACGGGUGAGUAAUGUCUGGGAAACUGCCUGAUGGAGGGGGAUAACUACUGGAAACGGUAGCUAAUACCGCAUAACGUCGCAAGACCAAAGUGGGGGACCUUCGGGCCUCAUGCCAUCAGAUGUGCCCAGAUGGGAUUAGCUAGUAGGUGGGGUAACGGCUCACCUAGGCGACGAUCCCUAGCUGGUCUGAGAGGAUGACCAGCCACACUGGAACUGAGACACGGUCCAGACUCCUACGGGAGGCAGCAGUGGGGAAUAUUGCACAAUGGGCGCAAGCCUGAUGCAGCCAUGCCGCGUGUGUGAAGAAGGCCUUCGGGUUGUAAAGCACUUUCAGCGGGGAGGAAGGCGGUGAGGUUAAUAACCUCAUCGAUUGACGUUACCCGCAGAAGAAGCACCGGCUAACUCCGUGCCAGCAGCCGCGGUAAUACGGAGGGUGCAAGCGUUAAUCGGAAU
rnacentral:rRNA from 1 species